CAGAGCACGGGUUGGUCGGGACGACUUAUUCAGCUGGACCAACUUCCGGCCCCCUGAGGUAGCUUCCGGUGCUGGCAUUCAGCCCUGUAGCGUUCACUAGCCCGCGCCGGCGAGAGAGCUGGGCUGAGCUGGGGUACAGCGAGGCGCCGCACUGGGGAGGGAAGCGGAUACGUGGAGGCCUGACGUGGCGGUGCUCAGUACAGACGCCUGUGGGGCUGGGGCACAGCGUCUGUUCCUGCAGAAGACGCCAUGUCUGUGGUCACUAUGGCAACGCUGCCUGUGCAGCGCACUGAGGUGGGAGCCAUGACAGCGCCAGUGUAGACAGAAGUUUUCCCAAGGUCCAGCAGAGACCGGAAGAAUGAGAGGGAAGACCAUGAGCCUUGCUUUGCCUGGACAGCUGCAGCUGCUACGGCCCAGGGGGGCUGCUGAGUGAGCGGGAGAGAGACGUACAGCAGAAGUGGUUGAAAGGAGUGAAAGUGGACGUGAGUUUGCAAAGUGGAAUGAUUACGGAAAGGACAGGUCAGGGAUGGGCUGCGUACAAGGCAUCAUUGCUAACAGAAUAGCAAAAGCAUGUAGGGAUAAAGGGUAAUCGGGCUGGAGUUAAACCUGCAGCAAGAAGGAACUCAUCUUCUGACACUACCAGAAAGCGAACCCUUCCAGGAAGUUUCUUCAUUAAGCUGUUUCCAUCAGAGAAGAUCUGCAGAAAGAGAAGCAACAGUCAGACACAGCACUGUGGUGGUUAAGCUGCCUCUCUCAGGUUAGAGGAAGGAUAAUAGGAGGAUAGAAACUAAGGUGAAUAGAAUUUAGUUUGGCCUCUCAAUGCUGUACAGCUCCCAUGUGUACUGGUAUACACAGCACGAGGUCAGAAGGUGUAGGGAGCAUGUUUUCUUCAUCAUGAGGAGAAGAAAGUCCUUUAGAGACCCACCGUAUUACUUAGCUCAGCACAAGGCUGAGUGGUGCCUGGAACUGUACUUUGGCUCAUUUCACUGGACCUUAGUGGCAGUUUACUAAGGAGACCUUGGUGCAAAGUCUUUCUCCUCCCCGCACACUUUUAUUGCUAAUAAUAUUCUACCCAUGUCUAACACCUUCUAUCCAAGGAGCUCAAUGCGCUUUAUGAACAAAAAACACCCCAGUGAGGUAUAUUAUCUUCAUAUUACACAUGGCCAAAUUGAAGCAGAGAAAGGGGAAAUUAUUUGCUCAGUCACAUAGCACGUUUGUGCCAGAGUCAGGAACAGAACCUAGCUUUGCCGCACUUGGAUCUUGCAAUCACAUUGUCUCUGAUGGGUGAGCAAGUGAAGAAAGGACAUCAUGCUAGAGCAUGUCAAAUUGGCUGUCUUAGAAACUCCUAGAAACCAUGGAAGUGUGAAAACCUAUCAGAGAAUCUGUAUGACAACAAAAGCCUAUCAAAGAUGCAGGCACCAGCACAGAGCGAAGUGAAACUGAAACGAGAGAAUCCAGAAACCCCACAAAGCCAGCAUUUCACAGAUUUAAAUCCCUGAAAUGUUAUAGCUAGCUAAGCAGAGAGACGCACCAUGGCGAGGGAACCCCUGCUAAAUCCUACUAUCAUCUUUCCUUGCUUCUGGAUGAGAAUGCUGCAAGUUGGUGCUUCUUCCUGUAACCCUGAUAGCUGGUGCUUAGACUGGAGUUCUCCCGUGCUGCUGUCCCACAGACUCAGCAUUCCUUCUUCAGACACAGUCAAAACCACCUGCCUUGGUUCAAACACUUCAGUGCACAGCCACGCAUCUGGGGCCUCACCAGAAAUCUGGAAAAUAUGUUCCGCUGUUUCCAGGUGCCAGGCAUUAACCUAGUAAAAAGAAGGAUUGGCAGGUGACCUUUGCCGGAGAUCUUUUUGUGCAACAUUUGCACAUAUAUUGAUUCUGGAGUUUAGAUACUGACUUAACUUCCCAAAUUUCACACUCCAAGGAUCUCAAAAUAUUUUACAAAACCAACAUGAUUCCUUAGAAGAACUUUCACAUGGUUCUUCCUAUCACAAUCUUGGAGUAACUGCACCUGUGUCCCCCCUCUGUGGUCACAGCCAGGUCUCCUGGUAUCACCUGUCUCUGUGUAGCCUUCGGACUGGCUUUUUUUAAGGGUGUAUAGCUCCCUGCCUUACACUUUGAUAUGCCUAGUAAGCCAGUCUACCUAAAGGCCAGUGCCUAUGCUUUGCUUUCUCUCUAAGGGCUAUGAACAGUGCAUUGCCAGCAAUUACAAGUUACCACACGG